AAUUGGCUGCUCUACUUACAAUUUUGAAUACCUUCCUUUUUUUGUUUUGGGGGUGGGGUCCAGAGUUUUUUUAUAUAUUUAUUUGAAGGGGGGUUUUGAGACCUUGGGAGAGGAUUGGAAAAGACUGGCUUUGCAUAUUUGGAGGGUACUAUCUAAUAUUCACAGCUCACAUUGCUAACCAGUUUCUUUAAAAGUUGUAUUCAUUUUGAUUUUGAGUUUCUUCAAUUAACUAGUUUCUUGUAUUCAUUUUUAGACCGUCAUCAUCCAUAUCGUAAAAAGAAGAAAGCUUUCAACGGAAAAUCAGAGUAUGGUAAAAGAAAAGCUGCUCAAAAUUAUGUGACUGAUCGAUUGAUUAUCAUGCAGAUUUCAAUAUAUGAAAUUAAUCCUCAGUGAUAUAAGAGAGAUUUGAGACACAACUAGUCAAGGCAUUGGCUGAGCCUGUUGAGUCCCUCUUUGAAGCAGGGGGGAAAAGACACUUGGCUUUCUAUCAGAAAACUUCUUAAACGUGAGACUGAAGCUGUUGUAUCAGAAUUUUCAACUUCCAUUGCUGGUUUUGAGCUUGAUGAAGAAACAAUUGAAAGAAUGCAACAAAGCCUAAGGGACCAUGGAAGAAAAGUGGUGGAAAAUAAAGCAAGAGAAGAAGCUGGAAAGAUUCUUAUUCGCAUGAAGGAUAGAUUAUCCACAAUAUUCAAUCAUGACAAUGAUUCACUACCUAGGGUUUGGACUGGGAAGGAAGAUAUCAGAGCAAUUACAAAGGAUGCUCGCUCUGUGGUAAUUGAUUGCAAACUUCAAUGAAUUGUUCUAGUUCUUUUAGGCUAUUAUGUUUUCUUUUUUGCUGGGACCUUGGAUGUUUAACUCACUUGAGAGAGUGUGUUCUCAAGAUCUCUUUUUAUGUUAAUAAAUUUUCA